AACGAACGCUGGCGGCAUGCCUAACACAUGCAAGUCGAACGAGACCUUCGGGUAUAGUGGCGCACGGGUGCGUAACGCGUGGGAACCUGCCCUUAGGUUCGGAAUAACUCCCCGAAAGGGGUGCUAAUACCGGAUAAUGUCUUCGGACCAAAGAUUUAUCGCCUUUGGAUGGGCCCGCGUUGGAUUAGCUAGUUGGUAGGGUAAAAGCCUACCAAGGCGACGAUCCAUAGCUGGUCUGAGAGGAUGAUCAGCCACACUGGGACUGAGACACGGCCCAGACUCCUACGGGAGGCAGGAGUGGGGAAUAUUGGACAAUGGGCGAAAGCCUGAUCCAGCAAUGCCGCGUGAGUGAUGAAGGCCGUAGGGUUGUAAAGCUCUUUUACCCGGGAUGAUAAUGACAGUACCGGGAGAAUAAGCUCCGGCUAACUCCGUG
rnacentral:rRNA from 1 species